AAAGCCGGAUUAAUACCGCAUACGCUCUACGGAGGAAAGGGGGGGAUCUUAGGACCUCUCGCUACAGGGGCGGCCGAUGGCAGAUUAGCUAGUUGGUGGGGUAAAGGCCUACCAAGGCGACGAUCUGUAGCUGGUCUGAGAGGACGACCAGCCACACUGGGACUGAGACACGGCCCAGACUCCUACGGGAGGCAGCAGUGGGGAAUUUUGGACAAUGGGGGCAACCCUGAUCCAGCAAUGCCGCGUGUGUGAAGAAGGCCUUCGGGUUGUAAAGCACUUUUGUCCGGAAAGAAAACCUUUGCCCUAAUACGGCGGGGGGAUGACGGUACCGGAAGAAUAAGCACCGGCUAACUACGUGCCAGCAGCCGCGGUAAUACGUAGGGUGCAAGCGUUAAUCGGAAUUACUGGGCGUAAAGCGUGCGCAGGCGGUUCGCUAAGACAGAUGUGAAAUCCCCGGGCUUAACCUGGGAACUGCAUUUGUGACUGGCGGGCUAGAGUAUGGCAGAGGGGGGUAGAAUUCCACGUGUAGCAGUGAAAUGCGUAGAGAUGUGGAGGAAUACCGAUGGCGAAGGCAGCCCCCUGGGCCAAUACUGACGCUCAUGCACGAAAGCGUGGGGAGCA
rnacentral:rRNA from 1 species